CUCCUCAAAACAGCCACGGGUGAGCACAUACAUGUGCGUGAGGGUGAGUGAUGGAGCUCUUCACCUGUCAGCGGUCAGGAGUGUCAUGGAGGAAGGCCUGGCCACGGAGAAUGUGGGACUCCUGCCCUCAAGCAGUUUCCUGUUCUACGUGGAUAAUCCCAUCUGAGUAUCCUGCAGAACCUUCGUGUUCAUCUACUAGCCUGACACCUGGCCUGCAGGACUCUCUCGCACCUGCAUUUGCCCACAGCCAUGUGGACCCCACAUAAUGAACUAAGGACAACAAUUAGCCUAAUGCUACACCGGACCCAGUUCUACCAUGGAACGGAAACUCUGGACACUGGCUUCACUCUUAGCUCUGCUGAAUCCCCAGCUGCCCAUCUUCCAGGAUGGUUUAAGGGAAAUGGGA